ACUCCUACGGGAGGCAGCAGUGGGGAAUAUUGCACAAUGGGCGCAAGCCUGAUGCAGCGACGCCGCGUGGGGGAUGACGGCCUUCGGGUUGUAAACCUCUUUCACCAUCGGCGAAGAGGGUGACGGUAGGUGGAGAAGAAGCACCGGCCAACUACGUGCCAGCAGCCGCGGUAAUACGUAGGGUGCGAGCGUUGUCCGGAAUUACUGGGCGUAAAGAGCUCGUAGGUGGUUUGUCGCGUUGUCCGUGAAAUUCCCUGGCUUAACUGGGGGCGUGCGGGCGAUACGGGCAGACUAGAGUACUGCAGGGGAGACUGGAAUUCCUGGUGUAGCGGUGGAAUGCGCAGAUAUCAGGAGGAACACCGGUGGCGAAGGCGGGUCUCUGGGCAGUAACUGACGCUGAGGAGCGAAAGCGUGGGGAGCGAACAGGAUUAGAUACCCUGGUAGUCCACGCCGUAAACGGUGGGUACUAGGUGUGGGUUUCCUUCCUUGGGAUCCGUGCCGUAGCUAACGCAUUAAGUACCCCGCCUGGGGAGUACGGCCGCAAGGCUAAAACUCAAAGAAAUUGACGGGGGCCCGCACAAGCGGCGGAGCAUGUGGAUUAAUUCGAUGCAACGCGAAGAACCUUACCUGGGUUUGACAUGCACAGGACGACGGUAGAGAUAUCGUUUCCCUUGUGGCCUGUGUGCAGGUGGUGCAUGGCUGUCGUCAGCUCGUGUCGUGAGAUGUUGGGUUAAGUCCCGCAACGAGCGCAACCCUUAUUUCAUGUUGCCAGCGCGUAAUGGCGGGGACUCGUGAGAGACUGCCGGGGUCAACUCGGA
rnacentral:rRNA from 1 species